rnacentral:rRNA from 1 species
GUCUAUGGCCAUGCCACCAUGAACAAGUUCAAUGUCUGAUCUCGGAAAUUAAGCAGGGUCGGACCUUGUUAGUACUUGGAUGGGAGACCACCUAGGAAGACCAGGUGCUGUAGGCA